CUCUCUCUCUCUCUCUCUCUCUCUCUCUCUCUCUCUCUCUCUCUCUCUCUCUCUCUCUCUCUCUCUCUCUCUCUAUCUCUCUCUCUAUCUCUCUCUCUCUCUCUCUCUCUCUCUAUCUCUCUAUCUCUCUAUCUCUCUAUCUCUCUAUCUCUCUAUCUCUCUAUCUCUCUAUCUCUCUAUCUAUCUCUCUAUCUAUCUCUCUCUCUAUCUAUCUCUCUAUCUCUCUAUCUCUCUAUCUCUCUAUCUAUCUAUCUAUCU
rnacentral:lncRNA from 1 species